UACGGAGGGUGCAAGCGUUAUUCGGAAUCAUUGGGUGUAAAGCGCGUGUAGGCGGCUGGGUAAGUUAGAUGUGAAAGCUCCGGGCUUAACCUGGAAAGUGCAUUUAAAACUGCCUGGCUUGAGUCUCGUAGAGGAAGGUGGAAUUCCCAGUGUAGAGGUGAAAUUCGUAGAUAUUGGGAGGAACACCGGUGGCGAAGGCGACCUUCUGGGCGCAGACUGACGCUGAGACGCGAAAGCGUGGGGAGCAAACAGG
rnacentral:rRNA from 1 species